rnacentral:lncRNA from 13 species
AUGUCUUCACAGAAGAAGGUGGAGCUUCAGACAGAAUCCAAAGUCAGUCCCAAGAAGAGCCCCGAGUCAGCCCUCGACCUUCUCGGCCUGGAUGCACCUGCAGGCAGAGCUGCAACCAGUUCGGCUGCUGCACCCAUCAGCGAUGAGGACAUCUUUUGGUCCAAUGGUGUCCAACCCUUUGCCGUCCUCCGACAACACUCAGGUACCACCUCUCCCUCCAGAGCAUGUGUCAAACUCUUCCCGUGGAAGGCCGAGCGUCUGCAGGAUUUCAUUCCUCCCUUGUACUUCAUUGAUGAGUUGAGGUCACUGAUCUGUAAGGAACUCUCCUCAACUAGUUGUUUAGGUCUUAAUUGGACACAAAUUGAAAGGAGAAAGCAAAAACCAGAAGGCACUGGGCCCACCAUGGAAUGA